rfam:Human poliovirus 1 Mahoney, complete genome
UAUUAACAACUACAUACAGUUCAAGAGCAAACACCGUAUUGAACCAGUAUGUUUGCUAGUA